rnacentral:rRNA from 1 species
GAUGAACGCUGGCGGCGUGCUUAAUACAUGCAAGUCGAACGGAGACAUUAGCAAUAAUGUUUUAGUGGCGAACGGGUGAGUAACGCGUUGGUGACCUGCCCCGAAGAGAGGGAUAACAGUUCGAAAGGAUUGCUAAUACCCCAUGUGGUUGUUUGGAUUAGAUGCCUUACAACUAAACGGAUUUAUUCGCUUCGGGAGGGGCCUGCGUCCCAUCAGCUAGUUGGUAGGGUAAUGGCCUACCAAGGCUAUGACGGGUAGGGGACCUGAGAGGGUGGCCCCCCACAAUGGAACUGAAACACGGUCCAUACACCUACGGGUGGCAGCAGUAGGGAAUAUUGGUUAAUCUGCGAAAGCGGGAACCAGCAACGCCGCGUGCCCGAUGAAGGCCUUCGGGUUGUAAAGUGCUUUUUGAGAGGAUGAGGAAGGACAGUACUCUUAGAAUAAGCUUCGGCUAACUACGUGCCAGCCGCCGCGGUAAGAC